rnacentral:rRNA from 1 species
UACGUAGGGUGCAAGCGUUGUCCGGAAUUAUUGGGCGUAAGAGCUCGUAGGCGGUGUGUCACGUCGGCCGUGAAAACCUGCAGCUUAACUGUGGGCGUGCGGUCGAUACGGGCAUCACUGGAGUUCGGCAGGGGAGACUGGAAUUCCUGGUGUAGCGGUGAAAUGCGCAGAUAUCGGGAGGAACACCGGUGGCGAAGGCGGUCUACUGGGCCGUUCCUGACGCUGAGGCGCGAAAGCGUGGGGAGCAAACAGG